rnacentral:lncRNA from 1 species
ACUAAUGGUUGUUUGGCACUAUAGUACAUGUUGAGCAAUGACUACUUUUAAUAGCUUCAUCUUUAGGAGCUUCUUUCCAUUGAUCUACCAAACAAUGGAAAGAAUUUCUCUUGGGGAGGGACAAUCAAGGUGAACGAUACAACGAUGGCUAUCAUCUAUCGAGUGAAUUGGAAGAGGAGUAGAUUAAGCUACAUUAUAUCAAAUUGGGUUUGGAGUAGAGUAUAUCAUUAUCCAUACUUAAUUUAAAUUUAUUUAAGAUAUUAUAUAUAAAAUUUAUUUCUAUUUUUUAAUUUAAAUGGGUUAGAUAAAAUCAGUCAUAUUUGGAUC